rnacentral:rRNA from 1 species
AUGUCUGAAGCUUUACCAGAUAAAUAUUUGGGACUUCAUGCUAUUGUAGGAGUAGACAGAAGUGAUAGCCUUGUUCAUCUACUAAAGAGAAUCAUAAAUAGAUUGAAGAGUUGGAAAGAAAAGUUUAUGUCUAUAGGAGGGAAAGAAAUUUUGUUGAAGGCAGUUAUACAAUCCAUCCCUGUUUUUGCUAUGUCCGUUUUUAAUAUUCCCAAGAAGCUAUGUAAGGAGAUGACAGAUGCAAUGGCGGAAUUUUUGUGGGAAGAUACGGAGGAAGUUAAAUGGAUGCAUUGGAUGGCCUGGUGCCGGAUGUGUAUUCCCCAAAAGGACAGAGGUAUGGGCUUCCGGGACCUACACAAUUUUAACCUAGUCGGUACAUUCUGCUCAGCCAUGGGUUCAUGGAUUUGGUCUCUUUGA